UUGACCUCAAAUCAGGUAGGACUACCCGCUGAACUUAAGCAUAUCAAUAAGCGGAGGAAAAGAAACUWACAAGGAU
rnacentral:rRNA from 1 species